AGGAUUUUAUAAUCCAAUGGCAGACAACAAUUUGAUUCUGUUGUAUCUUCUGGCGUACUUACAUUUACAACUUCAAAUAAUAGUUCUAAAACACAUUCUAAAAUAAAAUCACUAACAAUAGAAUUACCGAUUUUUGAUGGAAAAUUAUAAUCUUUGGAUAAAUUUAUAGAGAUACAUUCAAAACAU